AAUAAUAGGAUUCAUAAAAAAAAAAAAAAAAGACAGAUGGGAUUAGAAAAUGUUGCAGUGAAGACUCUGGAAUGAGAUGAGAUCACAGCACCAGCCUGUCUUUUGUGGACCGGCACAAUGAUCCCCGAGCCAGACUGGAUUAGGAAACCUCGCGACUAGGGGUUCAGAGAGGCCUCCGGUUCCCAGGCACUUUUGGGGAGAGAAGGCUGAAACGAUGCAUCAGAUUUACAGCUGCAGUGAUGAAAAUAUAGAAGUUUUCACCACCGUGAUUCCUUCCAAGGUGCCCAGUCCAGCCAGAAGAAGAGUCAAGAGCUCUCAACAUCUCUUAACCAAGAAUGUGGUGAUCGAGUCUGACCUCUACACGUCCCGGCCCCUGGAGCUGCUGCAGCACCGCAGCGACCACCGCGACGGCGAGGCCCGCAGGUCGAGCUGCUUCCAGAACGCACGGCCGCAGGGCGCCCACCCCGCCAAGACCCCCGCCAGGCCCGUGGGGAUUUCUGAACCCAAAUCAGCAAAUCUGUGCGGGAAUCGAGCAUAUAGCAAAGCUUUGAUGCCUCCGGUGGCCCGGAUCUCGGUGAAAGCUCCCGCCGUCCUGGAGGCGGCAGCUCUGGGCUCGGAGAACGGAGCUGUUCUGACCAGAGGAUCCAGGCACCUCAAGAAGAUGACUGAAGAGUAUCCUACCCUCCCUCAGGGAGCAGAAGCCUCCCUACCGCUGACAGGAAGUGCUUCCUGCGGCGUCCCCAGCAUCCUCCGGAAAAUGUGGACCAGGCACAAGAAGAAGUCUGAAUACGUGGGAGCUACCAACAGCGCCUUUGAGGCUGACUAAAGGUGACCCUCCCCAGGUGCCCUGUGCUGGCCCGAGUUCACUGCACAAGGGGAGGAAACUUCCAGAUGGGAACUGAGCGACAUUCACCUCUGCUACUAGCUGGUCCACGCACAUCACCCUCCAGUACUAACUAAUCGCCCCGGCUCAGGAAACGGGAAAGGAACCUCCCUCGAAGGCAAAAGAAAACUGUUCCUUCUUAGAAUCGAUAAAGCCAUUGGUCUGAAAGUGACUUCGGGAGGUCAUCAAGUUUAUAUCCCUAUAUUUAAGCAAAAUGGCACCAAAAUCAAACUUUCCCAACCCAUUUUAAAGACCUCCAAGGAAGCAAGCAGGCAAUUCCUCAGUCUUCCUUGUGAGUCGUUCUAAUUUCCAGUAUAAAUGUAAGAAUUUGAUGUUUCAGGCACUUGGAAGCACAAUGGUUCUCACUGUUCCUGCCACCAUAUUUAUUUCAUCUUGAUGAGACUCCGAACACCCAGUCCUCCCAUCAGAACAUGACUUGGAGAUUUGGGCAUCAAGUGCUCUUUCAAUGAAGGUCCCAAUGGACUGUGUAAUCGUCUUACAGUGUAUGGGUGAAGGGGCCCGGAACAAAGGUAGGGAGAAAACAGGUAAUUUACACUGGACCUAUCGGAGUAUCCUAUGACUAUUUAUUUUAACUUAUUUACUUUAUAACUGAUGUCCUCUAUUUGUAUGUGGCAGCUGGAGAUCUAUGUAGACUGGAACUUAUUUAUUUUUAAUUUAAAACUUUCAUGAUGAAGUGUUUGCCUUGUAUAGAACAUUUUCAUUGGCCAGUUCAAAUAAAAAUAAAGUCUGCUUUGUUUGUGACAUUAAUA